UCGCAAUAUAAAGUCAAAAGAAGAAAAAGCCUGGAAGGAGGAGAGCUGACUAGAAACGAUUCGGUUGACCAUUUUAUGUAUGGAUUUAUUGGCGGAGUAGAGGACCUUGUGCAUUUCAGUGGUGGAAUGCCAUCCAACAGAAUAAUGACUGACUUUUCAAAAUCGACAGUGAUGGUGAAACCUAUUUAGGGCAUUACAAAUAUAGCACGGUUAAUGGAGCCAUUCCAGAGUCCCCAUGCGAUUGACA